rnacentral:rRNA from 1 species
GACGAACGCUGGCGGCGUGCUUAACACAUGCCAGUCGAACGGAAAGGCCCUGCUUUUGUGGGGUGCUCGAGUUGCGAACGGGUGAGUAACACGUGAGUAACCUGCCCUUGACUUUGGGAUAACUUCAGGAAACUGGGGCUAAUACCGGAUAGGAGCUACUGCUGCAUGGUGGGGGUUGGAAAGUUUCGGCGGUUGGGGAUGGACUCGCGGCGUAUCAGCUUGUUGGUGGGGUAGUGGCUUACCAAGGCUUUGACGGGUAGCAGGCCUGGGAGGGUGACCGGCCACAUUGGGACUGGGAUACGGCCCAGACUCCUACGGGAGGCAGCGGUGGGGAAUAUUGCACAAUGGGCGGAGGCCUGAUGCAGCAACGCCGCGUGCGGGAUGACAGCCUUCGGGUUGUAAACCGCUUUCGCCUGUGACGAAGCGUGAGUGACGGUAAUGGGUAAAGAAGCACCGGCUAACUACGUG